rnacentral:rRNA from 1 species
UACGAAGGGGGCUAGCGUUGUCCGGAUUUAUUGGGCGUAAAGGGCUCGUAGGCGGCGUGUCGCGUCGGGAGUGAAAACCCGCGGCUUAACCGCGGGCCUGCUUUCGAUACGGGCGGGCUAGAGUUCGGCAGGGGAGACUGGAAUUCCUGGUGUAGCGGUGGAAUGCGCAGAUAUCAGGAGGAACACCGGUGGCGAAGGCGGGUCUCUGGGCCGAUACUGACACUGAGAAGCGAAAGCGUGGGGAGCGAACAGG